UACGGAGGGGGUUAGCGUUGUUCGGAAUUACUGGGCGUAAAGCGUACGUAGGCGGAUCAGAAAGUAAGGGGUGAAAUCCCAGGGCUCAACCCUGGAACUGCCUCUUAAACUCCUGGUCUUGAGUUCGAGAGAGGUGAGUGGAAUUCCAAGUGUAGAGGUGAAAUUCGUAGAUAUUUGGAGGAACACCAGUGGCGAAGGCGGCUCACUGGCUCGAUACUGACGCUGAGGUACGAAAGUGUGGGGAGCAAACAGG
rnacentral:rRNA from 1 species